rnacentral:rRNA from 1 species
GAUGAACGCUAGCGGGAGGCCUAAUACAUGCAAGUCGAACGGUAACAGGGGUAGCAAUACCCGCUGACGAGUGGCGCACGGGUGCGUAACGCGUACACAAUCUGCCUUAUACUAGAGCAUACCCCCAAGAAAUUGGGACUAACUCUCCAUAACAUAUUUAGUAGGCAUCUACAGAAUAUUAAAACUCCGGUGGUAUAAGAUGAGUGUGCGUCCGAUUAGGUAGUUGGUGAGGUAAAGGCUCACCAAGCCAACGAUCGGUAGCUGGUCUGAGAGGCCGAUCAGCCACACGGGCACUGAGACACGGGCACGACUCCUACGGGAGGCAGCAGUAGGGAAUAUUGGACAAUGGGCGCAAGCCUGAUCCAGCCAUCCCGCGUGAAGGAUUAAGGCCCUAUGGGUUGUAAACUUCUUUUCUCUGGGAAUAAAAAGUGGAGUUCACUCCGCCUUGAAGGUACCAGAGGAAUAAGCACCGGCUAGCUCCGUGCCAGCAGCCGCAGUAAUAC